UCUUAUGGACGAACAAAGAAAGUGGUUUCUUGAGAUGGAAUCUACUCCUAGUAAAGAUCCUGUAAA
rnacentral:pre_miRNA from 1 species